UACGGGGGGGGCAAGCGUUGUUCGGAAUUACUGGGCGUAAAGGGCUCGUAGGUGGCCAACUAAGUCAGACGUGAAAUCCCUCGGCUUAACCGGGGAACUGCGUCUGAUACUGGAUGGCUUGAGUUCGGGAGAGGGAUGCGGAAUUCCAGGUGUAGCGGUGAAAUGCGUAGAUAUCUGGAGGAACACCGGUGGCGAAGGCGGCAUCCUGGACCGGCACUGACGCUGAGGAGCGAAAGCCAGGGGAGCAAACGGG
rnacentral:rRNA from 1 species